AUUCGGAGGUGAGAAGUUCAAGUUCAAAGGUAAAAAACAUUCAGAUUCCUGUGAGACCUUUCUUCCUGGCUUGCAGUUGGCCACGUUCUUGCUGUGUCUUCUUGUGGACUUUUCUCUGCAGAAACAGAGAUAUCUUUCUUUUCAUAUAGGGACACCAGUUGCAUUGCAUGAGGGCUCCAUUCUUAUGAAUUCAUUGUAACCCUAAUUACAUCUUUAACAUCUUUUUCUACAAUACCAUCACAUGGGGGUUAGAGAUUCAACACAUGAAUUUGAGGAGAGAAUACAAUUCAGUCCAGAAAGAAGAUAAAAAGUAAAUGCCUGAUUUUAUGCCUAGAGCAUAAAUCUGUUAUCAGAACAGGAAAAGAAAACAGAAAUACUAAUUUAUAGGUCAAUGUGGAGAAGGCAAUGACACCCCACUCCAGUACUCUUGCCUGGAAAACCCCAUGGAUGGAGGAGCCUGGUAGGCUGCAGUCCAUGGGGUUGCUUAGAGUCGGACACGACUGAGCGACUUCACUUUCAGGUAUUGGAGAAGGAAAUGGCAAGAACACUGGAGUGAGAGGGAUCGAACCUAUGUCUCUUAUGUCUCCUGCGUUGGCAGGCAGGUGCUUUAUUACUGGCAUCACCUGAGAAGCCUGAAGGUUUUAGCUCAAGGAAUAACAAACAGAAAGAGGCAUAACCAUCAGGAAGGAAGAAAUAACAGUGUGGUUUUCAAAUGACGUGAUUUCUAUCUAUAAAAAAUCUAGGGGUGUCAACUGACAAACUGUCAGUUCCAAUAAGGUAAUUCAAUCAGACCACCAGACACAAGAUGAAUAAGAAACAGUAGCAUUUUUAGAUGGCCGUAACCAAUUACAGAGCUGUUACAGAAAAAAGCUAUAUGCAACAGCAGAAUUUUAAUAUCUGUAAGAAUAAAUCUAAUACAAUAAGUGGAAGAUCUAUAUAGGGAAAUCUGUAAAUUAUUACUGGAUGAGUUUGAAGAAAAUUUAAUAAAUAGGGAAAUAAUCCCAAACUUCAUUUCUAAACUCAGUGAAUAACAAUCAAGUUCUCAACUAAUACAUUUCAUAGAAAUUAACUAUCUGAUUUUAAGAUUCAUAUGGAGCCAAAAAUGUGCAUAAAUAUCCUAGACAUUGAUAAAAAAGGAGAUGCGACUGUUUCACAGUUAUAAAAAUAUUACAAAUUUGCUGUGCCAGAUGUUGUCAGUGGUCUUCCCAGUAUACAUUCUUCCCUCUGUUCUACUAACACAAUGCUAAAUUUAUCUGGGGUGGUAAAAUUCUCAAUUUCACAUGCUACUUUUGAGAGAAUUAUUUCCUAGGCAGGUUGAUAAGAAGUCUAGGGGUCCCCAAGGAAAGAGGGGUCUGGAAUUCUCCAGGAGGAAGAAAGGAAAAACUUUUUUCCCCUCUACAUUCCUUAGGAUUAUAUAACAAUAAUGUAUCCUGCCUGAGGACAGUCUCUGGAUUAAACCUUCUGUCUAAUCUUGUUAUCUUAAAAUGUAAAUUAUGGGA
ensembl:lncRNA